UUAAAUUAUGAUUUGAACAAUAUAUUUUCUUUGACCAAAUUUACAAAAUAACUUAAUUGGUCAAAUAUAUAAUAAAUAUCCUUAAUUUACAUGUAUCGAUAUGGAAGAUCAAUAAAUAAAAUAAAACAGAAAUGGAAAUUUGUGAUUUCCCAAGACUAAAAGUUAUAUAAAUAGAGCUUUUCUGCAAGACAUGAAAAGUCAAAAAAUGGCAAACACACAAAAUUUGGUGGGUUUUUUUCUUGUUGUGAUAUUAGCAGCUUCAAUGUUUAACACCAACAUUUUGGUUUCAGGUGGGAAGCACGAGGAUAAAAUCAAGUAUACUUACUGCACUGACACUUUAUGCUCGGACAGCUACUUACCUCAUAUGUGCUUUUUUGAUUGUACUAGUAAAAGGUUUCAAACCGGAACUUGUAUAGUUCCUUCUCCUAAUGCUCCCUUAAGAUGUUGUUGUGGUAACUUGUAGCCAAUCCAUCAUCUACUUAAUAAUAUAAUAAAAUGAUUUAAGAGCUUCA